AUGGCCGUUGGGCCGAGCCAUCUGCCACUCCAUAUAUUGGAAAGUAUGACAGAAAAUUUCUCCAAAGAUCGCAUACUUGGCAGCGGUUCGUACGGAACAGUUUAUCUGGGGGAGCAGGAAGAGGGGCAAAAAAUUGCUCUAAAGAUUCUUCACGACAAGACAGGACAUGACGAUGUGCAAUUUGAAAAGGAGUAUUACACUCUUGCAAAUCUGCAACACCAAAACAUUGUGCGGUUAGUUGGUUAUUGCCAUGAAACUCGACGAGAAUUCUUGCCGUACAAUGAAACUAUUGUUCUUGCUGAGGUGACAAAGAGGGCGCUUUGCUUUGAGUUUAUGGAGAAUGGAAGCCUUAGCGACUAUCUUUUUGAUUUCGGAUUGUCCAGAUUCUUCAAGGAAGAAAAAUCCCACAUCACCAAUAGUCCUAUAGGAACACUUGGGUACUUACCACCAGAGUUCAUAAAUCAGAACAUAAUCUCAAAUAAGCUGGAUAUAUUCAGCUUAGGUGUUGUAAUCAUAAGGAUAAUGGCCGGAACCGAAGGCUACUCCAAAAGUGCUGAAAUGCCGCCCGAGCAAUUUACUGAGAUCGUACACGGGAAUUGGAGGAAUAGGCUACAAUCAGCGGCGUCAGGGGAUUUGUUGGAGUCGUAUUCUGUACAAGUAAAGAGAUGCAUCGAAAUUGCUUUAAGCUGUGUGGUGGCCGACCGACAGAAAAGACCAACUAUAGGGGCUAUUGUUAAUAUGCUAAGUGAGAGAGAGACACUAGAAAAUGAUCAAGGGGAAUUGAUUGACCAGAUGAGCACUUGCGUGGUCAAUGACACUGAGCUGAUAGAUGUCCAUCCCCUCCAGCUCCACUUCUCUUUCUGA
rnacentral:rRNA from 1 species